UGUGCACCAGGGGGGUCCCUCGGCCAGGCCUGCGCCCUCUUGCAAUCUGGGGCCCUUCGGGGGAUGUCAGAGAGCUGGUUUUGGCCCAAUCCCGCAGGCCAGGCCGAGGGACCCCACUGGUGCACG
rnacentral:pre_miRNA from 1 species